rnacentral:rRNA from 1 species
UGGGGAAUUGUUCGCAAUGGGCGCAAGCCUGACGACGCAACGCCGCGUGGAGGACGAAGAUCUUCGGGUCGUAAACUCCUUUCGAUCGGGAAGAACGUUUUCGGGGUGAAUAAUCCCGAGAAGUGACGGUACCGAGAGCAGAAGCCCCGGCUAACUCCGUGCCAGCAGCCGCGGUAAUACGGGGGGGGCAAGCGUUGUUCGGAAUUACUGGGCGUAAAGGGCUUGUAGGCGGCCAACUAAGUCCGACGUGAAAUCCCCAGGCUCAACCUGGGAACUGCGUCGGAUACUGGAUGGCUUGAGUAUGGGAGAGGGAUGUAGAAUUCCAGGUGUAGCGGUGAAAUGCGUAGAUAUCUGGAGGAAUACCGGUGGCGAAGGCGGCAUCCUGGACCAUUACUGACGCUGAGGCGCGAAAGCUAGGGGAGCAAAC